AGAGUUUGAUCCUGGCUCAGAGCGAACGCUGGCGGCAGGCCUAAAACAUGCAAGUCGAACGCCGUAGCAAUACGGAGUGGCAGACGGGUGAGUAACACGUGGGAACGUACCCUUUGGUUCGGAACAACACAGGGAAACUUGUGCUAAUACCGGAUAAGCCCUUACGGGGAAAGAUUUAUCGCCGAAGGAUCGGCCCGCGUCUGAUUAGCUAGUUGGUGGGGUAACGGCCCACCAAGGCUACGAUCAGUAGCUGGUCUGAGAGGAUGAUCAGCCACACUGGGACUGAGACACGGCCCAGACUCCUACGGGAGGCAGCAGUUAGGAAUCUUGGACAAUGGGCGCAAGCCUGAUCCAGCCAUGCCGCGUGAGUGAUGAAGGCCUUAGGGUUGUAAAGCUCUUUCAGCGGGGAAGAUAAUGACGGUACCCGCAGAAGAAGCCCCGGCUAACUUCGUGCCAGCAGCCGCGGUAAU
rnacentral:rRNA from 1 species